UUGCUAGGGAAUUUGGAUCAUUCAGUGGCUACAUAUGGGGCCAUGUAAAUCACAAGCCUAUGGUUAGCAAAUUCAAGCACCCAAGAAGUAUCCCCUUUACGACUCCGAAAUCGGAAGCAAUAAGCAAGGACUUGGUGAGGAGGGGCCGGGUUCCGGUUGGUCGGGCCGGUGAUUGUGUACUCUUUCAUGCAGGCGGCGUUCCUUUCAGUUUUAUAGCGUUCUUCGUCGUAGGCUGGCUUGCUUACUUGAGAAAAAUACACUACAUUUCUUUUCAAAGAUUGGAUGGCCCUUCGGCAACUAUUGGAUGCAAGCAAUUCGUUGGUGCAUUACAAAAUGGAUGGCCGUUGGGCAACCAUUGCAUACAAACAAUUCGAUUGCAUGUCGAGUUGUGGCCGCCACUUGCUGCAAGGUCUCUCUUGACGGUCUUUUCGCAUAAGUCGUCGGUAAUUACAUAAGAUUUGCCUGCUGCAACAUAUUCGACGAAGGCGACUACUGCGGCGGUGUCGGGCUGCUGCUGCUGCGUGAGUAUCUAGCGCUGCAGCCAGUUCCGGUCCUGCUGCUGCUGCGUCUGAGAGAUGGUCGAGAGCUAAGCUUCUCUGCUCUCUCUACAGGCCAUGCUAUUCUUCUGCUGUACUCUCUCUUUGCUGCUAAGAUGCAAAAGAAGGGAGGGAGACUUUUUGGAUUCUGUCAGCAGCAGAAACAAAUUGAGUUAUUCAUUAUCCAUUUGAUGAGGAUCUGUGAAUAAUUGAUCUCAAACUUUCUUGAUGCAUUUUUUUUGUUAGGCUAAAAAAAUAAAAAGCAAGUCAUGAUAUGGUCCAAAACCACACAAACUUACAUUGUCUUCUUUGUGGGAGCUUCAGUCUGAUUCUGUAAUACUAAUUAAUAAGUAUUACAUAACAUGUGAUAUUUUAAAUCAAAUGAUGAACAUCAGACUGUGUACCUAGAUCACAAAAAAACUCUCUCUCCCAUUUUCGAAUGUAGAUCCAAUCGUGACUUAUGACUUACGAUUUGUUUGCAAAUUGGACUGCCGUUUGGCAGCCAAUGUGUACAAUGAAUUCUUCGGCGGAUUAUUUCCUCCUUUUUUUGAUAACUUCUUCUAAUUUCGGGCAUAUUCUCUUUAUUAUUUUGUUGCAAUAUAUAUGUUUGGCUCUAUUCAGGUGGAUUGAAUGCAUUUCUAUACUUAAUAGACCCAGCUUAGUGAUUUACUUUUAUCUUUUGUCUAUGGUUCUUAUCGUUUACUUUAUUAAACUUUUUCAUUUCUGAAUUUUGCUUUGCUGUUGUAAAGCUAUGCUAGAUUAAGAUAGGUCGGAAUUGCUGAUUAAUAAUGCCUUCAGUGAAUUGAGCAGCGAAUCGUGCUUUUACUGUAUCUGUCUAGUACCAGGAUGCAACAAAUUGCUUGCAGCAUGCGAGGAAUUUGUUGCUGCUUUCUUUUUCUAGAAGUGAGGGUCUGAUUUGAAACUUUUUUGGGAUUAAUUCUAUUUCCCCUGCUUGUGAUUACAGAAUGGUGGUUUUUUUUUUAGGAUCAGGCUUUUUUCAUUUGGGUUUGUUCUAUUAUUUGCGCAAAAUACUACUGCUGGGUAAUUUUUGAUAGGCAUUAUCAAGUUACCGUUUUUUAAUUUGUAGAAAGGUUCGAUGGUUUCCUGCAUGCAAGAACUGUUUGAUGUGAUUUAUGUUACCUACCUAUUUGGUGUAGAAAUGCAAAGAGUUUUGCAAAUCAGAGAGUUUUGCAAAUCUGCUCCGGGUUCACAAUUCAUAAGGUACAUAGUGUGUUUCUUGGGUUCAUUUUGUCUUUAUUACCUUACAGGUUUCUCCAAACAACUGGUGCGGCUGCUUCUACCUCUUAUUCUUAUUUCUUGUGCCUUUCCUCCAAUGCAAUUAAUGCUGAAUUCGAUUUACUAUGACUGGUUUUGGUUAUUAUGUUGGCAUUGCCAUAGUUUUUGCUUCUCUUGCUUUUGAGUUUAUGGCAAUGAGAGGUUUUGGUGAUCAGACAAAUGAAGGGAGUAGGUAAACAACUCCCUUUCGAAUGCGGAAAUGCCUCGAAAUCUGUUCAGGAUUCAUCGUUCAAAGCUUGCUAUAGAUACUUUUUUUCAUGUUUUCUUUCUUUGUUUGGGCUGUGAUGAUUCUGCUACUUCUGCAGUAGGAAACUCCCGUUGAUGGCCAACCGGCUGGUACAAUUUAUUUAUGGCGAAGGUUUGAAACAUUUGCGGUUAUUGGCGAUUUUGUUUUUGCUGUAUUCUUUGUGAUGCCCAAAUUGGAGCUAUUUGAAGCUUUGUAGGUGAUUAAAUCUGCGCCGAGUAUAUUUUUGCUUAUUGUCUUUUUAGUUAUUUGCCCUUUUUGAUUGGUUGUUUGCAGUAAUAAUUUAGAGCGUAAUUAUUUUUUUGCUUUAAAUUAAAUGAUUUUUUUGAUGUUUUAUUUGUUUGUUUGGAGUAUGAUGAUUUUUUCCCCGUUGUCAUAGGAUGCUUCCAUUGAUCAUUUGUUUUGGCAUUUGCGGUACUAGCUAUUUUGUUUUUCCUGUAUUCUUUGCGAUGCCGAAAUUGGAGCAGCUUCAAACUUGGUAUAUGAUUAAAUCUGAGCCCCCAAUUUUUUUCUUAUUGCCUUUUUAGUUAUUUGCUGUUUUUGAUCAAAUGCUUUUUUCCUGUUUUAUUUGUUUGUUUGGGGUGGCCUAAUUUUUGUUGCGAUAAGAUGCCGCCGCUGACCAUUUGUUUUAUGGUAUGACGAAGGUUUGAAACAAUUAAGUUUACUAACUAUUUUGUCUUUUGUGUGUUUUUUGUGGUUUCGAAAUUGGAGCGGUUUCAAGCUUGGUAGGCGUUUAAUCUGAAGCUUGGUAGAAGAUUUAAUCUGAGUCCAAUAUUUCUUUUUUAUUCUAUUUUUAGUUAUUUGCUGUGGUGAAUUUUUGCUUUUGUGGCAUGAAAAUUGCAGCAGUUUAAAACUUGAUAGAGAAUCAAGGCAGAGCUCAGUACUUCUGCCGAGAGUUUUGUUAGAUGUUGUUACUCAACGAUAGGAGAAUUAGAUGGUACAUUGAUGUGAAGUUUUUCUAAAUUAUAUAUAUAUUUUUGUUUUCUAGCUAAGACUUUGGUGGCUUAGAGGGUUAAUGCUGCGCCUGUUUUUUAAUCUUUGAUAUUUGUAGCUCAGCUGUCGUUCCCCCGAUACUUAAGCUUCUGAUAUCAACAAGACUUGAGUUGUUUACAAACAAACGUCAGCUCAAUCUUUAGAACUUUGAAGGGUUUGUGCUGCAUCUGUUUUAGAAGCUCAACCUUUAGAACCUUUAAGGAUUUGUGCUGCAUCUGUUUUAGAAGUCUCCUGCCUAGGGUUCUUUAUUAUGCACUUUCAGCAAAUUAGUCUACGCGUGGGUGGGCGCGGGCGUGGGCGUGGGCGCAGGCGCAAGCGGGCGCAGGCAGGCGCGGGCGCGAGCCAGCACGGACGCGAGCCGGCGCGGAGAGCCCACGUGGAGCGGUUUUUUUUUUUUUUUACUUUUUUUUUUUUUUCUGUGGCACCCAUCCUCUCUCUCUCCUCUCUCUUUUUUUUUUUUUUUUUUUUUUUUUUUGCCCUUUUCUAUCUUUUUAUUUGUAGUGGUGUAAUUAGUAGAUAUGGUUCAUAUUUAGUUCUUAAUGGCUUAUAUAACUUUCAUUGUUAAUAUUAUGCUAGGUACUUAAUUCUACUA